UACAGAGGUCCCAAGCGUUGUUCGGAUUCAUUGGGCGUAAAGGGCGCGUAGGCGGGCUGCCAAGUCUGGGGUGAAAUCCCACGGCUCAACCGUGGAACUGCCUCGGAUACUGGCGGCCUCGAGGGAGGUAGGGGCGUGCGGAACUGUGGGUGGAGCGGUGAAAUGCGUUGAUAUCCACAGGAACUCCGGUGGCGAAGGCGGCACGCUGGACCUCUUCUGACGCUGAGGCGCGAAAGCCAGGGGAGCAAACGGG
rnacentral:rRNA from 1 species